UAUGCAGGUAGAGGUGCGGGCAACAAGAGUACUUUCAGGAAGAGUGGUGCUGAUGAUCUGAAAGGAAAGGGUUGACUGCCGAAGUGCGGCAUGAUACCGGAUCGGUCGCACUGGUUUUGCAUUAAACAGGUGCAAAACUGUCACCAAAUUUUUUUGGUGGAGCGCUAUCUCAUCA
rnacentral:ncRNA from 2 species